CCUACGGGAGGCAGCAGUGAGGAAUAUUGGUCAAUGGACGAGAGUCUGAACCAGCCAAGUAGCGUGAAGGAUGACUGCCCUAUGGGUUGUAAACUUCUUUUAUAAAGGAGUAAAACGACCCACGUGUGCGUUUUUGCAUGUACCUUAUGAAUAAGGAUCGGCUAACUCCGUGCCAGCAGCCGCGGUAAUACGGAGGAUCCGAGCGUUAUCCGGAUUUAUUGGGUUUAAAGGGAGCGUAGGUGGGUUGUUAAGUCAGUUGUGAAAGUUUGCGGCUCAACCGUAAAAUUGCAAUUGAUACUGGCAGUCUUGAGUACAGUUGAGGUAGGCGGAAUGCGUGGUGUAGCGGUGAAAUGCUUAGAUAUCACGAAGAACCCCGAUUGCGAAGGCAGCUUACUGAACUGUGACUGACAUUGAGGCUCGAAAGUGUGGGUAUCGAACAGGAUUAGAUACCCUGGUAGUC
rnacentral:rRNA from 1 species